GAUGAAGAACGCAGCGAAAUGCGAUAAGUAAUGUGAAUUGCAGAAUUCAGUGAAUCAUCGAAUCUUUGAACGCACAUUGCGCCCAUUAGUAUUCUAGUGGGCAUGCCUGUUCGAGCGUCAUUAAUUCCACUUAAGCCCUGCUUAGUGUUGGGAAUCUACUCUAGUGGUGCUACCCUGGAGCUACCCCUGAAAGGGGGCUGGCCCGGUAGCUACCCUGUAGUUCCUCAAAGAUAGUGCGCGGAGUUGCGUGGUCCUCUGAGCUUAGUAACUAUACACCUAGCUUUUGAGUGCCCCGCGGCGCCUGCCGUUUAAACCCCAUCUUUUAAUGGUUGACCUCGGAUCAGGUAGGAAUACCCGCUGAACUUAAGCAUAUCAAUAAGCGGAGGA
rnacentral:misc_RNA from 1 species